GGGAAGUGAAACAUCUCAGUACCCUUAGGAAAAGAAAUCAAUUGAGAUUCCCUCAGUAGCGGCGAGCGAACGGGGAUCAGCCCAUUAAGUUAUGUGUGUUUUAGUGGAACGCUCUGGGAAGUGCGAACGUAGAGGGUGAUAUUCCCGUACACGAAAGGGCACACAUAAUGAUGACGAGUAGGGCGAGGCACGUGAAACCUUGUCUGAAUAUGGGGGGACCAUCCUCCAAGGCUAAAUACUCCUGACUGACCGAUAGUGAACCAGUACCGUGAGGGAAAGGCGAAAAGAACCCCUGUGAGGGGAGUGAAAUAGAUCCUGAAACCGCAUGCAUACAAGCAGUGGGAGCACCUUCGUGGUGUGACUGCGUACCUUUUGUAUAAUGGGUCAGCGACUUAUAUUCAGUAGCGAGGUUAACCGUAUAGGGGAGCCGUAGAGAAAUCGAGUCUUAAUAGGGCGUUUAGUUGCUGGGUAUAGACCCGAAACCAGGCGAUCUAUCCAUGAGCAGGUUGAAGGUUGGGUAACACUAACUGGAGGACCGAACCCACUGUCGUUGAAAAGCCAGGGGAUGACUUGUGGAUAGGGGUGAAAGGCUAAUCAAGCCUGGUGAUAGCUGGUUCUCCCCGAAAGCUAUUUAGGUAGCGCCUCGGACGAAUACCAUAGGGGGUAGAGCACUGUUUCGGCUAGGGGGUCAUCCCGACUUACCAAACCGAUGCAAACUCCGAAUACCUAUGAGUACUAUCCGGGAGACAGACUGCGGGUGCUAACGUCCGUAGUCAAGAGGAAAACAAUCCAGACCGCCAGCUAAGGCCCCAAAAUCAUAGUUAAGUGGGAAACGAUGUGGGAAGGCAUAGACAGCUAGGAGGUUGGCUUAGAAGCAGCCACCCUUUAAAGAAAGCGUAAUAGCUCACUAGUCGAGUCGGCCUGCGCGGAAGAUGUAACGGGGCUAAAACUAUGUGCCGAAGCUGCGGAUGUAUACUUUGUAUACGUGGUAGGGGAGCGUUCUGUAAGCCGAUGAAGGUGUGUUGAGAAGCAUGCUGGAGGUAUCAGAAGUGCGAAUGCUGACGUGAGUAACGACAAAACGGGUGAAAAACCCGUUCGCCGAAAGACCAAGGGUUCCAGUCCAACGUUAAUCGGGGCUGGGUGAGUCGACCCCUAAGGCGAGGCCGAAAGGCGUAGUCGAUGGGAAAAUGGUUAAUAUUCCAUUACUUCUGUGUAAUGCGAUGAGAGGACGGAGAAGGCUAAAUCAGCCUGGCGUUGGUUGUCCAGGUGAAAGGAUGUAGGCAUGUAUCUUAGGCAAAUCCGGGGUACUCUAUGCUGAGAUCUGAUAGCAAGCUGUACUUGUACAGCGAAGUGGUUGAUGCCAUGCUUCCAGGAAAAGUCUCUAAGCUUCAGUUACACAGGAAUCGUACCCGAAACCGACACAGGUGGUCAGGUCGAGUAGACCAAGGCGCUUGAGAGAACUCUGCUGAAGGAACUAGGCAAAAUGGUACCGUAACUUCGGGAGAAGGUACGCUGUUGUUGGUGAUGGAACUCGCUUCCUGAGCUGACGACAGCCGCAGAAACCAGGCCGCUGCAACUGUUUAUUAAAAACAUAGCACUCUGCAAACACGAAAGUGGACGUAUAGGGUGUGAUGCCUGCCCGGUGCUGGAAGGUUAAUUGAUGGGGUUAGCGUAAGCGAAGCUCUUGAUCGAAGCCCCAGUAAACGGCGGCCGUAACUAUAACGGUCCUAAGGUAGCGAAAUUCCUUGUCGGGUAAGUUCCGACCUGCACGAAUGGCAUAAUGAUGGCGGCGCUGUCUCCAGCAGAGGCUCAGUGAAAUCGAAAUCGCUGUGAAGAUGCAGUGUACCCGCGGCUAGACGGAAAGACCCCGUGAACCUUUACUGCAGCUUGACACUGAACUUUGACCUUACUUGUGUAGGAUAGGUGGGAGGCUUUGAAGCUGGAACGCUAGUUCCAGUGGAGCCGUCCUUGAAAUACCACCCUGGUAAUGUUGAGGUUCUAACUCUGUCCCGUGAUCCGGGACGAGGACCGUGUCUGGUGGGUAGUUUGACUGGGGCGGUCUCCUCCUAAAGAGUAACGGAGGAGUACGAAGGUGCGCUCAGCGUGGUCGGAAAUCACGCGUAGAGUAUAAAGGCAAAAGCGCGCUUAACUGCGAGACCCACAAGUCGAGCAGGUACGAAAGUAGGUCUUAGUGAUCCGGUGGUUCUGUAUGGAAGGGCCAUCGCUCAACGGAUAAAAGGUACUCUGGGGAUAACAGGCUGAUACCGCCCAAGAGUUCAUAUCGACGGCGGUGUUUGGCACCUCGAUGUCGGCUCAUCUCAUCCUGGGGCUGAAGCAGGUCCCAAGGGUAUGGCUGUUCGCCAUUUAAAGAGGUACGCGAGCUGGGUUUAGAACGUCGUGAGACAGUUCGGUCCCUAUCUACCGUGGGCGCUGGAAAUUUGAGAGGAUCUGCUCCUAGUACGAGAGGACCAGAGUGGACGAACCUCUGGUGUACCGGUUGUGACGCCAGUCGCAUCGCCGGGUAGCUAUGUUCGGAAGGGAUAACCGCUGAAAGCAUCUAAGCGGGAAGCCUACCUCAAGAUAAGAUUUCCCUAGGACUUUAUGUCCUCUAAAGAGCCGUUCGAGACUAGGACGUUGAUAGGUUGGAUGUGGAAGCAUAGUGAUAUGUGAAGCUGACCAAUACUAAUUGCUCGUGAGGCUUGACUAUACAACACCCAAGCAGUUG
rnacentral:rRNA from 1 species